rnacentral:rRNA from 1 species
GGGUUGUGAGGUUAAGCGACUAAGCGUACACGGUGGAUGCCCUGGCAGUCAGAGGCGAUGAAGGGCGUGCUAAUCUGCGAUAAGCGCCGGUAAGGUGAUAUGAACCGUUAUAACCGGCGAUACCCGAAUGGGGAAACCCAGUGUGACUCGUCACACUAUCAUUAACUGAAUCCAUAGGUUAAUGAGGCGAACCGGGGGAACUGAAACAUCUAAGUACCCCGAGGAAAAGAAAUCAACCGAGAUUCCCCCAGUAGCGGCGAGCGAACGGGGAGGAGCCCAGAGCCUGAAUCAGCAUGUGUGUUAGUGGAAGCGUCUGGAAAGGCGCGCGAUACAGGGUGACAGCCCCGUACACAAAAGCGCAUGUGCUGUGAGCUCGAUGAGUAGGGCGGGACACGUGGUAUCCUGUCUGAAUAUGGGGGGACCAUCCUCCAAGGCUAAAUACUCCUGACUGACCGAUAGUGAACCAGUACCGUGAGGGAAAGGCGAAAAGAACCCCGGCGAGGGGAGUGAAAAAGAACCUGAAACCGUGUACGUACAAGCAGUGGGAGCACAGGUUUACCUGUGUGACUGCGUACCUUUUGUAUAAUGGGUCAGCGACUUAUAUUCUGUAGCAAGGUUAACCGAAUAGGGGAGCCGGAGGGAAACCGAGUCUUAACUGGGCGUUAAGUUGCAGGGUAUAGACCCGAAACCCGGUGAUCUAGCCAUGGGCAGGUUGAAGGUUGGGUAACACUAACUGGAGGACCGAACCGACUAAUGUUGAAAAAUUAGCGGAUGACCUGUGGCUGGGGGUGAAAGGCCAAUCAAACCGGGAGAUAGCUGGUUCUCCCCGAAAGCUAUUUAGGUAGCGCCUCGUGAAUUCAUCUCCGGGGGUAGAGCACUGUUUCGGCUAGGGGGCCAUCCCGGCUUACCAACCCGAUGCAAACUGCGAAUACCGGAGAAUGUUAUCACGGGAGACACACGGCGGGUGCUAACGUCCGUCGUGAAGAGGGAAACAACCCAGACCGCCAGCUAAGGUCCCAAAGUCAUGGUUAAGUGGGAAACGAUGUGGGAAGGCCCAGACAGCCAGGAUGUUGGCUUAGAAGCAGCCAUCAUUUAAAGAAAGCGUAAUAGCUCACUGGUCGAGUCGGCCUGCGCGGAAGAUGUAACGGGGCUAAACCAUGCACCGAAGCUGCGGCAGCGA